rnacentral:rRNA from 1 species
UACGUAGGGGGCAAGCGUUGUCCGGAAUCAUUGGGCGUAAAGAGCUCGUAGGCGGUUCGGCAAGUCGGAUGUGAAAUCUCCACGCUCAACGUGGAGGGGCCAUUCGAAACUGCCGUGACUCGAGUCCGGUAGGGGAGUGCGGAAUUCCCGGUGUAGCGGUGAAAUGCGACAGAUAUCAGGAAGAACACCCGUGGCGAAGGCGGCUCUCUGGGACGGUACUGACGCUGAGACGCGAAAGCGUGGGGAGCGAACAGG